rnacentral:lncRNA from 1 species
CAAGGAGCUUCAUGAACUCAUCAUAAUUCUUCUCACUCUCCAUCUCGAACUUGCCGGUGAAAGCCAUGCUGCUGGGAGGCUGGAGGAGAAGGUGCCAGGUGCCUUGAAGAUGCCUGUGCACCAGGCACUGGGCUGGAUGCUGGAUGAGUUUUAUUUUGUUCAAGCUUCAGAGCUGGAAGGGGUUAGGGGUUCAGAAUCUUGACUUCCAUUUCCUGCUGUGUCUCUCAGUACCACUUCACAUGCAGGGACUCUAUCUCCUCCGUGAUCACUCCGGCCUACCCAUCUUGUGAGAAUGUCCU